GGAUGUGAGGGUGAUCUGGCUGCGACAUCUGUCACCCCGUUGAUCGCCAGGGUUGAUCCGGCUGAUCUGGCUGGCGAGGCGGGUGUCCCCUUCCUCCCUCACCGCUCCAUGUGCGUCCCUCCCGGAGCUGCGCUGGGUCCGACCUUCCGCGCUAGAGGAGGACCGUUCUUCGGUCAAGGGUAUACGAGGAGCUGCGCUCCCCUGCUAGAACCUCCAAACAAAAUAUACAAAGGACUUUUUAAACUGUAAAACAUUUUACAGAUUUUAAAUAUUACUGGGUCUAGUGAUAGUUAUUU
rnacentral:snRNA from 1 species